CCAUCUUGAUGGUGCCCACCCAUAAUGAGAACUCAUCACCCCAUGUAGUCCACUCAGAUUCCUCUGGAGGCACCCUCAAGAAACUGAUUUGCUACUUCUCAAAGUAAUCCUGAUCCAGUCAAGCAGACACAGAAAAUUAUCCAUUACAGCCACAGUGGAGGAAGUCUGGAGCAUCAGUGGUACCAGGAGUGAUCUGACUUUGGAACCAGAGCCUUUACUUCUUCAAAGCUGGACAACCUUGGUGUUUUGGUAUGUGUUGGAGCCACCAAACCCAGAGCAGAUGUGGAAAAGCAAUGGUAUGUGCAUAUAAGUACCUUUUGAGGCCAG